UGCAAGUCGAGCGGAUGAAGGGAGCUUGCUCCUGGAUUCAGCGGCGGACGGGUGAGUAAUGCCUAGGAAUCUGCCUGGUAGUGGGGGAUAACGUCCGGAAACGGGCGCUAAUACCGCAUACGUCCUGAGGGAGAAAGUGGGGGAUCUUCGGACCUCACGCUAUCAGAUGAGCCUAGGUCGGAUUAGCUAGUUGGUGGGGUAAAGGCCUACCAAGGCGACGAUCCGUAACUGGUCUGAGAGGAUGAUCAGUCACACUGGAACUGAGACACGGUCCAGACUCCUACGGGAGGCAGCAGUGGGGAAUAUUGGACAAUGGGCGAAAGCCUGAUCCAGCCAUGCCGCGUGUGUGAAGAAGGUCUUCGGAUUGUAAAGCACUUUAAGUUGGGAGGAAGGGCAGUAAGUUAAUACCUUGCUGUUUUGACGUUACCAACAGAAUAAGCACCGGCUAACUUCGUGCCAGCAGCCGCGGUAAUACGAAAGGGUGCAAGCGUUAAUCGGAAUUACUGGGCGUAUAGCGCGCGUAGGUGGUUCAGCAUG
rnacentral:rRNA from 1 species